GGGCCCGCACAAGCGGUGGAGCAUGUGGUUUAAUUCGAAGCAACGCGAAGAACCUUACCAGGUCUUGACAUCCUUUGACCACUCUAGAGAUAGAGCUUCCCCUUCGGGGGCAAAGUGACAGGUGGUGCAUGGUUGUCGUCAGCUCGUGUCGUGAGAUGUUGGGUUAAGUCCCGCAACGAGCGCAACCCUUAUUGUUAGUUGCCAUCAUUCAGUUGGGCACUCUAGCAAGACUGCCGGUAAUAAACCGGAGGAAGGUGGGG
rnacentral:rRNA from 1 species